GGGGGUCUUGCCACGAAGAAUAAAACGUUACGCAAUCGUGAAGUCAACUCAUUUUUUUUCUACUGUCUGUUUGCUAUUUUUACUAGACCUCACCACUUCAAGUAAACAUGAUAUCCUUCCAUUUUCCUGGAAUGAUAUCCCAAAAAGAUGCAAGAUUUUUUAAAAAGUCUAUAUUUAUGUUUCCAUUCACCAUAAACCUAUAAACAAACAGAAAAAAAUGAGUUCAGAAAAAAAUUCAGUCUACUAAAUUAUCUGUAAAUCUCAUUCUUGUCUAUCUUUAUGAAUAACCUGACCAUGCACAGUUGUACAGCGGUUCACUGAGGUAACCUGACCA
rnacentral:lncRNA from 1 species